ACCUGCUAGCAGUUAUAUCAGCAAAAUCAAUGGUUGCUGGCUAGAAAUGAGAAACCUGCUUUUAUAAGGAGUGCUCUGACUACUUUAGCCUACAGUUGUGACCACGCAAUGAUGAUAACGCUGCUCUUAUUCGUAACCUGCAACAUCUUGACUCAGAUCUACAGGGGAAGGUGUGAUUGUGUGAGUCUGUAGCUAGUAAUAAAACAGCCAGCAGGAUGUGUGGCACAUUUGAAGAGACUGCUCAAUACUGUUGACUCACUAACUCAUUUCUCUCUCUCCCACUCAAAGUAGGAGACAGGGUGUGUAGAGCUGAAGCACAUUUUGGCGCAGCUGCGAGAUCCAGAGGCAGCCGAACAGCUCAGUACCAGAAUACUAUCAGAGGAAAGAACAAAAAGCUCAAGUACCGCUGCCACCAUGUCCAGCAGCUCUGCCUCUCCACUCGCUCAUCCCACAGAGGGCUUUCAGGGCUCCCAUAAAUCAUUUCUCCCUCACAGACUACUUCUGAGUUCAGUUUGAUGAUAAGACUGGAAGGAAAGGCGCUAUGCAAUGUGGGCGUCCAGGAAGACACAGAAUUGCAUUAUCUGCCGCAGUGUGCUCAGACCAGAAACAUGGCAGCUGAACAUGGUGGAGUACAAGAUUAAGCAGUACGAGAAAAAGAGUGAAAGGUUGACCAAUGAGCUGCAGAACAUGAAGAAGAAAAAUCAGCAGAAUAAGUGAAAUUGCUCAACUAGAUGUUUCAUUGGAACCAACCCAACCAAUUGCACCAAGACAGCAAAGCUGGUCAGCCAAAGAAGUGGGAGGGUGCAUGAGAAGAACAACUCAGUCAGUCCUCACGUCUCCUCUCUCCUCAGGCGAUUAAUGGACUUUGAAUGGCUUUGAGCAUAACUCAUGUGCAAAAGAUGAGGACUUGCCUGUUCCCCACUAUGUGAAUGAAAAUUGUUCUUAUUCUUUUAUUUACACCUGUUGCUUAUAUCUUAAGAUUUAGGAACACACUGAAAAAAGGACAUCUUUUAUACAGUUAAAGCUACAAUCAUUAGAAUCGGUAAGGGCUGAUUUAGUUGAGGACUUAGCGGACUGAACUGUCAAAAAAUGUAGAAUGUAAAUGCAAUUUAAUGUUGAAUCUGUGGCAAGCCCAACUUGCUAUAAAUUACAACACAUCCAGCAUUAA